rnacentral:tRNA from 1 species
GGGGGUGUAGCUCAGUGGUAGAGUACCUGCCUAGCAGGCACAAACCCCUGGGUUUCAUCCCCAGUACCACCA